AAGACAUUAAAUCAACCCCUUGAUUUAUAUAUCCCCUGAGUGAAACUAAGAAUUGCUGUGUGUAGUCUUUGCCCAUCUCCCACGAUGGGCCUUUUUUUUU
rnacentral:other from 1 species